AUAUGAAGGGUCAAACGGUGUGAGAAAUUGCUUGGAAGGGUGCAUGAUGAUUGGAUAAGCGUUUGAUCUCGAAAUAUAAAAGGGGACACGCAUUGGGGUUCUCAUUCAUUCAGAUUUUUUUCUAUCUCUUCUUUCUUACACCUCUCUCCCUAUUGUCCAAUUAUUCUUUUUCUUUCCUUGUUAGGACAUAUCCUAAAAUAGUAAGGGCAAGUUUGAUUUUAGGACAAGGGCCUAGAAAGAGAUAUAAGGAAGAUAAGGAGACAAAAAAGAUAGAGAUAGGAAGGCUAGGA
rnacentral:lncRNA from 1 species